GUGUGAAGUGGAUGCUGAAACGAAAUAAAGUCGUGCACUGAAAGGAGCUCGCCACAGCACAGCAGCUGUGUGACAUCCAAAACACUGCAGGUAGCGCACCUGAGCAGGCUCACCUCCACUGGAGACGAUGACUGCUGUCAAGAUACGAUCAGCGCAGGUUUUACAGUCUUCCUGAAUAAACAGCGAGACUUGGAUCUCCUGGUGUGUUGCUCACUUGGUUGGCUGUUGUGAAGGGAUUUCUCUUCACCAUGGAAAUAAUUCUGCGAUCAUCCACCACAAUUGUCUUCCGUCUUAAGGAUGGCUUGUUUCACCUGCAUGAAGAGCUCCUUUGACCGCAUGUUGUCUGUUCAAAGCAAAAUCUUCCAAAUGCAAGCACCACACAUCAAAUCAACUCCAGCCUUUUAUCUGCUUACUGUAAUUGAUAAUAACAUGACAAAGGAAAUACCCACACCUGCCCAUGAAAUAGCCUUUGAGUCACUUCUUCAGUUACUUUUUGCCCCUUUAAAAAGACGGUGGCACAAACUAAAGAGCUGAAACUCCCAAAUCCUUCACCCAAUUUGAAUGUGGAUGCCCUCAAAUAAAAACUAAGAGUCUA